rnacentral:lncRNA from 1 species
UCAUCACUCAAUUAUGCAAUAUUACACCAUUUUCACUCCCAAUCUUCACAAGGGAAUUCACCCAGGAGAAAUCUGCAUUCAUCGCCCUGCUGCCAAAAUUUCAGAGGUAAGCUUGGUUCAAUUUCUUCACAUUUCUUCCAUAUGCAACCUGCAUUGACCAAAUUCAUUUCAGUUAUCUCCCUAGUUUAAACUACUCAAGUUCGGCAAAUAGUUUAUAAAUCAAACGAAGCAACUUCACGGUGAGUUUUAUACUUUAACUCUACCAUUUUCUGCCAAAGUCUCAUUCAUUCGUUAAAUAAUGAAAGCUUCAAUUCAUUUCAGCUAUUUCACACUUCACUAAACUCAAGCAACAACCAAGCAGUUGAAAACAAGUGAGGUAAUUCACUAUCUCAAUCAACCAUUCCAGAAAACAUUCAUAUCAAGCAUGAUUAUGGUUAGUUUCACAAUACCAGAAAACCGUAUAAUCAUCUUGAACUUAGCAAGCACCAACAACAUUCUAAUAUUCAAGUGACAGUUCCUAUGUAGUUCUAAUCAAACAUAAUUUGAGUUAUGCAAAACAAGAAGAUUUCACCUUGUCUAGUUCACGUUUUCGAAUCGAUAAAAAGUAGACGAGAGAACAUAGCUUUAGAGGGCUGCCCUGCUUAGUCCAGUUGAGAGACGACGUCUGGGCGGCCAUUCGCGAGCUUCUCG